AACCAUUCAGUUCAAUGGGACCGUAAAAAAAAAAAAGGAAAUUACUCUGUGUGCAUUCUGUGUCUGCAUGGCCGUUCCGCAAAAAAAAUAGAACAUGUCCUAUUAUUGUCCAUAUUACAGACAAGGUUAGGACUUUUCUAUUAGGGGCUGGCCAUUCUGUUACACAAAAUGCAGAAUGCACACGGACGUCAUCUGUAUUUUUU